AGGAGUCACAGUACCACUAAUCAGGAGGUCCAGAAGGAGUCAUAGUACCACUAAUCAGGAGGUCUAGAAGGAGUCAUAGUUCCACUAAUCAGGAGGUCUAGAAGGAGUCAUAGUUCCACUAAUCAGGAGGUCUAGAAGGAGUCAUAGUUCCACUAAUCAGGAGGUCUAGAAGGAGUCAUAGUUCCACUAAUCAGGUCUAGAAGGAGUCAUAGUUCCACUAAUCAGGAGGUCUAGAAGGAGUCAUAGUUCCACUAAUCAGGAGGUCUAGAAGGAGUCAUAGUACCACUAAUCAGGAGGUCUAGAAGGAGUCAUAGUUCCACUAAUCAGGAGGUCUAGAAGGAGUCAUAGUUCCACUAAUCAGGAGGUCCAGAAGGAGUCAUAGUUCCACUAAUCAGGAGGUCUAGAAGGAGUCAUAGUACCACUAAUCAGGAGGUCUAGAAGGAGUCAUAGUUCCACUAAUCAGGAGGUCUAGAAGGAGUCAUAGUUCCACUAAUCAGGAGGUCUAGAAGGAGUCAUAGUACCACUAAUCAGGAGGUCUAGAAGGAGUCAUAGUUCCACUAAUCAGGUCUAGAAGGAGUCAUAGUACCACUAAUCAGGAGGUCUAGAAGGAGUCAUAGUACCACAAAUCAGGUCUAGAAGGAGUCAUAGUUCCACUAAUCAGGUCUAGAA